rnacentral:rRNA from 1 species
GACGAACGCUGGCGGCGUGCUUAACACAUGCAAGUCGAACGGAAAGGCCCUGCUUUUGUGGGGUGCUCGAGUGGCGAACGGGUGAGUAACACGUGAGUAACCUGCCCUUGACUUUGGGAUACUUCAGGAAACUGGGGCUAAUACCGGAUAGGAGCUCCUGCUGCAUGGUGGGGGUUGGAAAGUUUCGGCGGUUGGGGAUGGACUCGCGGCUUAUCAGCCUGUUGGUGGGGUAGUGGCUUACCAAGGCUUUGACGGGUAGCCGGCCUGAGAGGGUGACCGGCCACAUUGGGACUGAGAUACGGCCCAGACUCCUACGGGAGGCAGGAGUGGGGAAUAUUGGACAAUGGGCGGAAGCCUGAUGCAGCAACGCCGCGUGCGGGAUGACGGCCUUCGGGUUGUAAACCGCUUUCGCCUGUGACGAAGCGUGAGUGACGGUAAUGGGUAAAGAAGCACCGGCUAACUACGU